UUCGGGAUGCCGGCGAGUGGCAAACGGGUGAGUAACGCGUGGAUACCUGUCCUAUGGUGGGGAAUAACGUUUAGAAAUGAACGCUAAUACCGCAUAAGCCCUACGGGGGAAAGAUUUAUCGCCAUAGGAGGGGUCUGCGUCGGAUUAGCUAGUUGGUGGGGUAAGGGCCUACCAAGGCGACGAUCCGUAGCUGGUCUGAGAGGAUGAUCAGCCACACUGGGACUGAGACACGGCCCAGACUCCUACGGGAGGCAGCAGUGGGGAAUAUUGCGCAAUGGGGGAAACCCUGACGCAGCGACGCCGCGUGGGUGAAGAAGGCCUUAGGGUUGUAAAGCCCUUUCAGCAGGAAAGAUUGUGACGGUACCUGCAGAAGAAGCUCCGGCUAACUCCGUGCCAGCAGCCGCGGUAAUACGGAGGGAGCUAGCGUUGUUCGGAAUUACUGGGCGUAAAGGGCGCGUAGGCGGUUUGACAAG
rnacentral:rRNA from 1 species